ensembl:lncRNA
GCUUGUUUGUCUGAACAUUAUAGAAGCAUUGUCUCACCACAUGUAACCCUUUGCAGGUGAUGCAUCGUUCAGAUGUUUUAAGCAAUGUGGAAUGAUGUGUGAAGGGAUGAGCUCCUGGAAUUUGACCCACCAGUGUGUACUGGUGCUGUUCAUCUACUGCAGGGUUCCUCAAAUCUUACCCUGGAGGUCCAGUGCGCUGCAGAGUUUAGCUCCAACCCUGAUCAACCUCACCUACCUCUGAUUUUCUAAUGAUCCUGAAGACACUGAUUAGCUUGCUCAGGUGAGUUUGAUUAGGGUUAGAGCUAAACUCUGCACCAAAGUGGAUCUCGUGGUCCAGAUUUGAGGAUCCCUGAUCUACUGUAUGCCAAUAUGUCAAGCCUUUCUUCCCAACUCCUGGUCACGCGUACUAACGUUGUCCUGGGAUUCAUACACACACCAGCACAUGACAGAACAGGCUAUUAUGAACAUCACAAUGGAAACUCUGAGCAAAAUGAUGGAACGUCAACAUGAUGUAGAUACUGAGGAGCUGGUGAGGUAGCAAGUGCUAACGCUGAAAUGGAUUUCUUGAGCUCCACAAGCUCUGAUCCAGUCUACCACUUUGACUCUGAGAGGGUGGAAGGAGCCACCCAGAUGCUGUGAGAGUUCUGGGGCCGGACAGUUCUGCUGACCCAGGCUAAAGAGUACCAGGGGGCCAGACAUAGCCUGGGUCAGAUUUUCCAUUCAUUACAGUACCUGGGUGGAGAUGGGUCAGCAAGCAGUGUACCUCCACCUUCUGCACCCAGAAAAGCCUUCAGUUCCUGUAGCCUCAGAAGACACCCCUACCUCUGCAGAGUGCUACAGAUUUAGCUGUUACAGCAAUUUGUUGGAGGAAAUGAUUCGUCAGACAGAACCGCUACUGACUACUGGUUAUUUCAGCACUUACCCUUUCAAACCACCAGGUAUAAGUGUUAUCAUGUAACUUUAUUGGAUAAAAUAUGUCCUGGUCACAUUUCACCCCAAAUUAGAAUGGAAAUUGUAUAGAGAGAGAGGGGGGGGGGUAUAUAAAAAUAAUUAUAUUUUGCAUAAAGAAAAUAAAGCCUAUGUGUGAGACA